GCACCCGUGGUGAAAUGGAUAUCACACCAGCCUUCGAAGCUGUUUUUGGGGGUUCGAAUCCCUCCGGGUGCA
rnacentral:tRNA from 1 species